GACGAACGCCGGCGGCGCGCCUAACACAUGCAAGUCAAACGAGGUUUAGAGAAGCUUGCUUUUCGAAGACCGAGUGGCGGACGGGUGAGUAACACGUGAGCAACCUGCCUUUCAGAGGGGGAUAACGUUUGGAAACGAACGCUAAUACCGCAUAAUAUUUCUUGUUGGCAUCGACGAGGAAUCAAAGGAGUAAUCCCACUGAAAGAUGGGCUCGCGUCUGAUUAGAUAGUUGGUGAGGUAAUGGCUCACCAAGUCGACGAUCAGUAGCCGGACUGAGAGGUUGAUCGGCCACAUUGGGACUGAGACACGGGCCCAGACUCCUACGGGAGGCAGCAGUGGGGGAUAUUGCACAAUGGGGGAAACCCUGAUGCAGCGACGCCGCGUGAGGGAAGAAGGUUUUCGGAUUGUAAACCUCUGUCAUCUAGGAAGAAUAAAUGACGGUACUAGAUGAGGAAGCUACGGCUAACUACGUGCCAGCAGCCGCCGCAGUAA
rnacentral:rRNA from 1 species